CCGCUUCGGGGCCGGGGACUGAGGUGGCGGCGCUUCCUGCUGCCGCGGGUCGCGUUCUGUCUUUAAAAAAUCUUCUGGCGGCGUUUACCACCACGCACCUCUUCAGAGGCGGUGAGGAGUAAUCCUCCCAUGACAGGACCCGAAGCAAUAGCAGUUUUUACUCUCAGAGCGCCCGCUCUGCGUCCUGGAGGGCGUUUGAGUUAGGGGUUUAUGCUCUAUAAUAAUAAUGGCAGUAGUUCUCGUUUGUUGGGCGCCCACACUGGCCGCCAUACCCUCAAUCCCCGUGAAGUAGGGACUGUUUAUCUCACUUUACAGACUGAUUAGGAUGCCAUCAGAGCACCAAAGAAGGGAGUGGCAGACAUCUUCACAGAGGCAGCCGGAUGACUGGGAGGAAUUUGGACCCUGAAGUAGAGAAGGCUUGCUUUCCAUGCCUUUCAUCUUCGGCCGUGAACCUCAUGUCUCUGAGCAUCUGUGCAGUGGGGGCUUCGGGAAGCUGUUAGGGUUUGUUGAGAUAACAUUUGCACCAUUGUAUUAAUUUUCUGUGGCUGCCUCGACAACUUACAACAAAGAGCAUAAAACAA